GGAGACUGUGGCUCAGUGAGAAGAAUGGUUGUCUUGCAAUCCAAUAGUUGUGGGUUCAAUUCCAGCUUGCUCCU